rnacentral:lncRNA from 1 species
CAAGGCCCAAUUCAUGAGUCAAGGUGCUUGCAGAGACACAGGCCUCAGAUUUGUGGCUGCCAUUUCUGCUGGAUUAGUAGCAUAAGAAGGAGAAGGAGAAGGAGAACACUGGCCAAGGGGGCCAUAUUACCUGGGUACCUUCUCCUUGUUGUUGUCCUAGUUCCUGUUCCUCUAACUGAUGCCAGCACUGACAUUAAGAAGGGAAUCCAUAUGCCCUCACACAAGUCACCAGUGUUGGACAGGACUGUCCCCUAUUGCAUAGUAUCUGUGUAGUUGUUGUUGUUGUUGUAGCAGUAGUAUUGCUCCUACUAUUCUUUUCUUUUCUGUUCCUUAUUUUAUAUUUUGUUUUUUGUUCCCUUACUGCUUUGCUUUUCAACAUGAAACUGUUGUCCAUGAUUCCUGAGCAAGGGGCUAGACAGUGAUUGAAGUUGGAGCAUGUUGCAUGCCCAGCAAGGCUUUGCAACACACUCCCAUACCUUGGGAGUUCCAAACACAUGAAUAAUGCAUAUUUAUAUUUACAUGUGUGUGUGUGUGUGUGCAUGUGCAUGUGCUGGCCCACCCACACAAAACAGGCGUAUGUUAUGUUUUGAGAAAACAAAUCUUCACUAAAAGUUUAUUUUUUAUUUUUUAUUAUAAUGAUAAUGAUAAUAAUAAUAAUAAUAAUGUAACCAUCAUUGUAUCCUUUGACAAACAGCCAGGAUAAUGCACAUCAUUUGAUUGAUUCUGAAGGUUUGCAUUCUUUCUUUCUCAUUGAUGGGAAACAAGACUUUGAGGAGUGGUGGUGGCUUUUGCACUUUAAUGGUUUGUUUGUUAUUUAUUUGUGGAUAAGGGGCCUAAGAUCUAAGUAUAGAGAAAGCACCCAACACAAUUUUACAGACAGAUGCAGAGAGGACAAUAACAAAUAACUUCCCUUAUCUUUUUCUUCUUUCAUCCUUUCACUUCAAAGUGGACAGAGAUAGAGUCAGACAAACACACAGCACACACCAUUUUUGAACAAAUGGUUUAGGGUUUGUUUCACAUGCAGUGCACCCUGGAAAAAGUAAGAACAUAAAUAAAUAAAACCAAACAAUCAAAAACAAACAAACACAAACAACAAACACAAGGGUUAUGUUCCCCAUC